CCUACGGGUGGCAGCAGUGGGGAAUAUUGGACAAUGGGCGAAAGCCUGAUCCAGCCAUGCCGCGUGUGUGAAGAAGGCCUUCGGGUUGUAAAGCACUUUCAGUGGGGAAGAAAGCCUUGGGGCUAAUACCCUCGAGGAAGGACAUCACCCACAGAAGAAGCACCGGCUAACUCCGUGCCAGCAGCCGCGGUAAUACGGAGGGUGCGAGCGUUAAUCGGAAUUACUGGGCGUAAAGCGCGCGUAGGCGGUCUGAUAAGCCGGUUGUGAAAGCCCCGGGCUCAACCUGGGAACGGCAUCCGGAACUGUCAGGCUAGAGUGCAGGAGAGGAAGGUAGAAUUCCCGGUGUAGCGGUGAAAUGCGUAGAGAUCGGGAGGAAUACCAGUGGCGAAGGCGGCCUUCUGGACUGACACUGACGCUGAGGUGCGAAAGCGUGGGUAGCAAACAGGAUUAGAUGCCUGGUAGUC
rnacentral:rRNA from 1 species